rnacentral:rRNA from 1 species
CGCGGCCUAUCAGCUUGUUGGUGGGGUAAUGGCCUACCAAGGCGACGACGGGUAGCCGGCCUGAGAGGGUGACCGGCCACACUGGGACUGAGACACGGCCCAGACUCUUACGGGAGGCAGCAGUGGGGAAUAUUGCACAAUGGGCGAAAGCCUGAUGCAGCGACGCCGCGUGAGGGAUGACGGCCUUCGGGUUGUAAACCUCUUUCAGCAGGGACGAAGCGCAAGUGACGGUACCUGCAGAAGAAGCACCGGCUAACUACGUGCCAGCAGCCGCGGUAAUACGUAGGGUGCGAGCGUUGUCCGGAAUUAUUGGGCGUAAAGAGCUCGUAGGCGGUUUGUCGCGUCGGCCGUGAAAACUUGGGGCUUAACCCCGAGCCUGCGGUCGAUACGGGCAGACUUGAGUUCGGCAGGGGAGACUGGAAUUCCUGGUGUAGCGGUGAAAUGCGCAGAUAUCAGGAGGAACACCGGUGGCGAAGGCGGGUCUCUGGGCCGAUACUGACGCUGAGGAGCGAAAGCGUGGGGAGCGAACAGGAUUAGAUACCCUGGUAGUCCACGCCGUAAACGGUGGGUGCUAGGUGUGGGGGACUUCCACGUUCUCCGUGCCGCAGCUAACGCAUUAAGCACCCCGCCUGGGGAGUACGG